UACGUAGGGUGCGAGCGUUAAUCGGAAUUACUGGGCGUAAAGCGUGCGUAGGCGGUUCGUUAAGUCAGUUGUGAAAGCCCCGGGCUCAACCUGGGAAUUGCGGUUGAAACUGGCGAACUAGAAUCUGGCAGAGGGGGGUGGAAUUCCACGUGUAGCAGUGAAAUGCGUAGAGAUGUGGAGGAACACCGAUGGCGAAGGCAGCCCCUGGGUCAAGAUUGACGCUCAUGCACGAAAGCGUGGGGAGCAAACAGG
rnacentral:rRNA from 1 species